GUGCCGAUAGUGCAAUGGUUAGCAUGCGCCCUCCAAAAGGUUGACAUACGGGUUCAAUUCCUGUCCGACGUU